rnacentral:rRNA from 1 species
UCAACCAUAGUGUGNUCUGGAAACUGUCUGACUUGAGUGCAGAAGGGGAGAGUGGAAUUCCAUGUGUAGCGGUGAAAUGCGUAGAUAUACGGAGGAACACCAGUGGCGAAAGCGGCUCUCUGGUCUGUCACUGACGCUGAGGCUCGAAAGCGUGGGUAGCGAACAGGAUUAGAUACCCUGGUAGUNCACGCCGUAAACGAUGAGUGCUAGGUGUUAGGCCCUUUCCGGGGCUUAGUGCCGGAGCUAACGCAAUAAGCACUCCGCCUGGGGAGUACGACCGCAAGGUUGAAACUCAAAGGAAUUGACGGGGGCCCGCACAAGCGGUGGAGCAUGUGGUUUAAUUCGAAGCAACGCGAAGAACCUUACCAGGUCUUGACAUCCCGAUGCUAUUCUUAGAGAUAGGAAGUUACUUCGGUACAUCGGAGACAGGUGGUGCAUGGUUGUCGUCAGCUCGUGUCGUGAGAUGUUGGGUUAAGUCCCGCAACGAGCGCAACCCUUAUUGUUAGUUGCCAUCAUUAAGUUGGGCACUCUAGCGAGACUGCCGGUAAUAAACCGGAGGAAGGUGGGGAUGACGUCAAAUCAUCAUGCCCCUUAUGACCUGGGCUACACACGUGCUACAAUGGUCGGUACAACGAGUUGCGAGCCGGUGACGGCAAGCUAAUCUCUGAAAGCCGAUCUCAGUUCGGAUUGGAGGCUGCAACUCGCCUCCAUGAAGUCGGAAUCGCUAGUAAUCGCGGAUCAGCACGCCGCGGUGAAUACGUUCCCGGGCCUUGUNC